GUUUGUUGAUCGGGGCUCCUUCGCCGCAGGGUCGGCGGCAGGUGGUAGGGAAUUGAAUCCUGGGGACGGGGAUGGCAAAUCAGGGGACCCAUGGGAAGGCGAUUUUGGCGUAAUGACGUGGGAGGGAAAGGGGGGGAGCAAACAGGCUUAGAUACCUGGUAGUCCCCCGUAACGUUGGAACAGUUGGGGUCCAUUCCACGGAUCCGUGACGCAGCUACGCAUAAGUCCCGCCUGGGAGUACGGCCGCAAGGCUAAACUCAAAGGAUUGACGGGGACCCGCACAAGCGGCGGAGCAUGCGGAUUAUUCGAUGCAACGCGAAGAACCUUACCAAGGCUUGACAUAUACGAGAACGGGCCAGAAAUGGUCAACUCUUUGGACACUCGUAAACAGGUGGUGCAUGGUUGUCGUCAGCUCGUGUCGUGAGAUGUUGGGUUAAGUCCCGCAACGAGCGCAACCCUCGUUCUAUGUUGCCAGCACGUAAUGGUGGGAACUCAUGGGAUACUGCCGGGGUCAACUCGGAGGAAGGUGGGGAUGACGUCAAAUCAUCAUGCCCCUUAUGUCUUGGGCUUCACGCAUGCUACAAUGGCCGGUACAAAGGGCUGCAAUACCGCGAGGUGGAGCGAAUCCCAAAAAGCCGGUCCCAGUUCGGAUUGAGGUCUGCAACUCGACCUCAUGAAGUCGGAGUCGCUAGUAAUCGCAGAUCAGCAACGCUGCGGUGAAUACGUUCCCGGGUCUUGUACACACCGCCCGUCAAGUCAUGAAAGUCGGUAACACCUAAGCCGGCGUGCAUCGGGUGACGGCGAUUCCAC
rnacentral:rRNA from 1 species